AAAGGAAUUGACGGGGGCCCGCACAAGCGGUGGAGCAUGUGGUUUAAUUCGAUGCAACGCGAAGAACCUUACCAGGAUUUGACAUCCCUUGAUAGCUGUAGAGAUACAGAUUCUCUUCGGAGCAAGGAGACAGGUGGUGCAUGGUUGUCGUCAGCUCGUGUCGUGAGAUGUUGGGUUAAGUCCCGCAACGAGCGCAACCCCUAUCUUUAGUUACCAUCAUUAAGUUGGGGACUUUAAAGAGACUGCCGGCUAAAAGUCGGAGGAAGGUGGGGAUGACGUCAAAUCAUCAUGCCCCUUAUGUCCUGGGCUACACACGUGCUACAAUGGUUCGUACAGAGGGAAGCGAAGCAGUGAUGCGAAGCGAAUCUCACAAAACGGAUCUCAGUUCGGAUUGCAGGCUGCAACUCGCCUGCAUGAAGUCGGAAUCGCUAGUAAUCGCAGGUCAGCAUACUGCGGUGAAUACGUUCCCGGGCCUUGUACACACCGCCCGU
rnacentral:rRNA from 1 species